UUAGCUUUUCAUUAUUACCCCAUGUUAUCUACUUUCCAGCCCCCUUUCCUUUCUUUAUAGUUGUAUUAUUUCAAACUUUUGCCUCCAAUGUUCUAUUCCGAUUUCUAGACUUAAAAGGUACUAAGCCAACCAACCAAUCGCCUUUUUAUUUAUUAAACAAACACUGGUAUGGGCAACCUAAAUUUUAAAUUCAGGCAUGCCCUGACAACACAUGGCUCCCAGUCAAUCCUAUAAUUUAGUGAAUCAACUUAAACUUCUUUAGUAAAUCAAUCCUAAACUAGAUUAACAAACAUGAUGCACAUUCAAAUAACAACUAAUACAAACAAAUUCACCACAUUCAACUGAAUAACCAAUUCAAUUCAACGUGAUGACUGAC
rnacentral:lncRNA from 1 species